ACACGGUCGAUCUUUGGUCGACGAACUUUGUCCGAUGUGACGUCAGAAGCGGAGAAACAGCAAGAAAAGUCAGAACUUGGCCGCAGUUUCUCCGCUUCUGACGUCACAUCGAACAAAGUUAGUCGAGCAAAGCUCGGCCGUGUGGACGGGGCCUAGGUCGUCAUUUGCUGUGCAGAAAGUAGACUGACGACAGUUGUUGGAUAAAAAUGGGCCACAAUUUGAACUUUUAAGAGCAAGUGAUGUUUACUCAUGGAACCUGUGUAACAGUCUUAAGACUUAAAAUAGUGGACUACUAGCCUGGUAAAAAAUAUCUGAUUUUGGAAGUUUGUUUUCUUCAAUGGAUUUCGUAGAACACCAAACUUUGAAUCGGUGGCAUAUAAGAACAUCGAAUACUUCGGCACACUGGUAUUUUCAUAUUUUCUCCAUCUCACAACGGUGCAAGAUGGCCAGUGACACCUCGAAGCAAAUUGGCCCCCUGCAGUUGCAAGUAAAUUUGAUUUUUCACGGUAAGAUACUCUGCAUACUAUUGCAGAGAUAAUCUUCCACAAGUGAUAACCAGUGACUGAGCACCAAGCAAGCUAUUAAGUUCGCAUGUACUCUACACUCUCCCACACGACAGAUCUCAAGAGUAAGAUGGCCUCGAUAAUCUCCUACAAAAAAUAGCCAGCGGUAAAGCUCCUAGCAAGCUGUCAAGUUCAAGAGUAAGGUGACCUCUACUCACCCAAGAGAGCCACCGGCAGAGCUCCAAGCCAGCUCUCAAGUUUAGGAGCUCUAAACACGGGGAUAGGCCACGAACGGCAGAGUUCCACGCAAACUGGAUAGUUCAGUAGCUCUAAACACACCAAGCGUCAACACCAGAAGUAGUGUUUUCAAGAGCAUUAUAAAGUUUACUGUUACACUAAUGAGGAUGCAAAUGUAUUUUAGAGGGAAAUAACAUUGACUGUACAAUAUUCUAAAGUUGUUUCUUUUAAAGUGGUUACUCAAUAUUCCCAGCUCGA